UUAGGGAGACAACUAUUUGAAACAGAUCAUAAUCUUGACACAUCUGAUAUCCAGUUCUUGGAAGAUGCUGGAAACAACGUGGAGGUAGAUGAGUCUUUGUUCCAGGAAAUGGAUGACUUGGAGCUGGAGGACGAUGAAGAUGAUCCAGACUACAAUCCUGCUGACCGGGAGAGUGACUUGACCGACUGAUGGACUAUUCCCGUCUGCAGAGAGGCCUGACUGCCACAGCAUCUGUGGCUAUGCUGAGAGGGUGUUGAUUUUCCUUUCUUUUUUCUAAGAAAAAAAUAAUUUUCAGGAGAAUAUUCUUCUGAUGGGUUUCAUCAUUGAACUUAAUAAAUUGAUCUUAAAAAUUUCAAAUAUUAAAA